rnacentral:lncRNA from 1 species
CUUCAUGAUCAAGAUGGCCUUUUUUUUUCCAGACUCACUUUGAAGAAACAAAGUUACCCUGCUGAAAGUUAGUGGAAGAAGUUUCCCUUCAUCCAUUCCUAUUUCUUCCACAUCUGAACCUGCACUACACAAAGAUGAAGUGAUUGCCGUAUCACCUUAGUUGGAUGAACAAAGCCCAGGAGACUUCCAUGUCCUGCAUACCCAUAAUCCACUUUAUUAGCACUUAAAGCACAGAACAAAACAGUGCUCUGUUGAUACGCACAUGUAGUUUUUGACAGAGGCUGACCUACCUGCUGCACUUGAUGUGAAAGAAUGUCUUCCCGUUGCCUUGAGAGUUUCGUGCCAAAGUUUGUUCCUGGUUCUGUGGAGUUCAGCAAGAUUCUCACCCGAAGGCAUAUCAGAAGAGUACGGAAGGAUCUGCCAUUCUAGACACUUUCUCUGCAUUAGCAACAGGGUAAAUGAAAAAGUAUCACAUAAAUGUGACGGGAUGACUCUUGUGACUGAAGUGCUGCAGUGGGUGGCUACAAGCUCUUCAGAAGGGACAGGUGAGGAAGGAGAGGCUGUGGGUGGCUCUGUACACUGGGGAGGGUUCUGGCUGUGCAGAGCCCAGGGGCAGUGGGGAUAAGGCUGAGUGCCUGUGGGUGACAGUCAGAGGGAUGGCCAACAAGGCAGAGAUCCUGCUAGAGUCUGUC